rnacentral:rRNA from 1 species
GAUGAACGCUGGCGGCGUGCCUAAUACAUGCAAGUCGAGCGAACAGACGAGGAGCUUGCUCCUCUGACGUUAGCGGCGGACGGGUGAGUAACACGUGGAUAACCUACCUAUAAGACUGGGAUAACUUCGGGAAACCGGAGCUAAUACCGGAUAAUAUAUUGAACCGCAUGGUUCAAUAGUGAAAGACGGUUUUGCUGUCACUUAUAGAUGGAUCCGCGCCGCAGUAGCUAGUUGGUAAGGUAACGGCUUACCAAGGCGACGAUGCGUAGCCGACCUGAGAGGGUGAUCGGCCACACUGGAACUGAGACACGGUCCAGACUCCUACGGGAGGCAGCAGUAGGGAAUCUUCCGCAAGGGGCGAAAGCCUGACGGAGCAACGCCGCGUGAGUGAUGAAGGUCUUCGGAUCGUAAAACUCUGUUAUUAGGGAAGAACAAAUGUGUAAGUAACUAUGCACGUCUUGACGGUACCUAAUCAGAAAGCCACGGCUAACUACG